GUAUGAUACAAAAUAAAUGCCCGGACGAGAUGCGCCGUACCCGGUUAAGACAAGACGACGCCUU
rnacentral:ncRNA from 1 species